rnacentral:tRNA from 1 species
UCGGAUAUGGUGUAACGGCCAACAUUACCGCCUCUCAUACAGAACGCGGUAGCUCGGGGUUCGAUUCCCCGUAUCCGAA